UACAUUUUUAUUAUACUAUGUAGUAACAACAACUUUCAAUGAUCAUGGGAUCUUCUUUCUUUUGACAAGUUACAGUCUUUCCUUGCUGUGUUCCUAAUCUUUCUUCACUCUGUACUCAGAAUGGAGGCCAUGGUAUUAUUGGCUUCUUUGCUGGCUGCCACCUUUGUUUGGAAAUAGUCCAUCUUCCACUGACCAGUACUGUAUGGGCAGUAUUUGUGCCUGAGGCAUCCCUUCCAGCACUCUCUGACAUUUGGAAGACUUACAAGUGAAGAAAACAGAAGAGAAAUUUACUGGAGCUUAGAAGAAAUUAGAGAUUGUUACGGUGUGGACAAGACCUCUGCAAGAUGUGGACAAGGCCUCUGCAAGAACGGUGUGGACAAAGCCUCUGCAAGAGGGAAAACAAAAGGCCAGAGAAAUAGGACUGACUUUCAUGUGACCAAGGAGAAGACAGAGAAGGGAUUGGCAAUAAAGAGUAUGCUGAUGGAAAAGUGUAACUCAUGCAAGAGCAGAGUCUUGCUGAAAUCUGGAAUACCAGAAGCAGAAAUGCAAAAGCAUCUGGUAGAGAUAGUGAAUCAACAAACAAUAAUCAGAAAUUCUGUGCCUCAUCAGACAUCUCCUGUAGUGAACAUUGAGGCAGUUGUUACAGCAAUAGAGCUUCAUUAACCCCAGGAUAUUCUGAUCUACAAAUUCUGUAGCACAGUUUUUCUACUGGAAAUUUAAUUUUCAUUUUAAACUUUCACCUGGCAGAACUAUCUUUUUUGGAUUGAAAACAUCAGUAUGGGAGUUGCAAGUUGUAAUUGAAACGUGAGGUUGAUAUUUGGCUUUUAAGAUGUUUUGGGAUUGUUGAGUGACCACCAAAAGGAAAAGCCAGAUAGAAAAAAUAACUUUGGUUUGGCAUAGUCUGGAAAAUUGUAAGCUACACAAGGUCAUAGAGUAAGUCAGUUAAGGUAAUGAAAUAUAUAGAAAAGGUAUCUGUCUUAGGAAGCCACUUCUUGCAAGUGGUCGGAAGUUGAGUAAGUAUUUGGAAAGACACGUUAGAAUCUGCAUUCUUGCUCCAUUCUAUAUUUUUCCUUAGUUGUGUACACUUUGAGCUUUGGUUGCUCAAAAGACAAGAUAUUGAUUUGACCUACUAUGUCUAUUUUUAUGUAUGAUGGCAGUUUACCACAGUAUAUCAGCGUUUUAACUUCUGGAAAUGAGUUCAGUUUCUUCCUCUCAAAAUUGGAAAGUAUUGUAUUUGUUUGUUUAAACUCAAGUGAAUGUAGGAGUAAACCUGAUGUUUUAUUUAAGUUUAUUACAGAAACUCUGUCAUCAUAUUGAUAAUUACAGAAAUUCAUUAUAAUUUAUGGAUGAGACACAAAAGUUUUGAUGUAUGCUGAUUUAAAACAGAUAAAUCUUAGAAAAGGACCAUGUUUUCGCAAACAACUGGAGUGCAAUGUAAACCAAGCAAAAUGUAGUUUUUACAUCACAAAACCUGCAAAUCCUAUUUAAAUGUAAUAUAACAUGAAGAAGUAAUAUGUAAAUAAAGUAUACUUUUCUUACUAGCAGCAUUAAUAAACUAACUUCUUAAAAUAUCA